UUACUGUCUAGUGAGUAUUGACGUCUGA
rnacentral:sRNA from 1 species